ACUUGAAUAUUAGUAGUUAUGAACUUUAAAUUCAAAGAAUUUGGCGGUAUUUUAGUCUUGUUAGAGGAACCUGUUCUGUAAAUGAUACUACACGAAUAAUCUUACUUACUUUUGUUUUUCAGUUUGUAUACCGUCAUUAUUAGAUAACCUUUAUUGAGAAAGUUAUUGGAAUAUAAGAAUUUAAGUAUAUUAGAUCAAGGUGCAGCUUAUAGGUAAGAAGAAAUGGGUUACAAUAAAAUUUAUUUAAACGUAUUGGUAUCUGAAUAGCUACCAUGAAGGAGGAUUUAAUUGUAAUGUAAUUUUAAUAAGUUAACAUGAUAUGAGAACUAAAAUAUGUACACAUACGCCCGUCGC
rnacentral:rRNA from 1 species